rnacentral:pre_miRNA from 1 species
UUUCUACUCCCUCCGUCCGAAAAUACUUGUCAUCAAAAUGGAUAAAAAGAGAUAUAUCUAAAACUAAAAUACGUCUAGAUACAUUUCCUUUUAUCCAUUUUGAUGACAAGUAUUUCCGGACAGAGGGAGUAUUUG